UUCGUACUCUCUUCGACCGGAAAUACUUGUCGAAGAAAUUGAUACAUCUAGACAUAUUUUAAUUUUAGAUAUAUCCAUUUUUAUGAAUUUUUGCGACAAGUAUUUCCGGACGGAGGGAGUAUUAA
rfam:Triticum aestivum genome assembly, contig: Triticum_aestivum_CS42_TGACv1_scaffold_031271_1BL